UUUACGGCUCAGUAACACGUGGACAACCUACCCUAAGGAGGGGGAUAACCCCGGGAAACUGGGGAUAAUACCCCAUAGAUUAUGGAUGCUGGAAUGCUCUGUAGUUGAAAAGGUCAGCCGCCUUAGGAUGGGUCUGCGGCCGAUUAGGUUGUUGUUGGGGUAACGGCCCAACAAGCCUAUAAUCGGUACGGGUUGUGGGAGCAAGAGCCCGGAGAUGGAUUCUGAGACACGAAUCCAGGCCCUACGGGGCGCAGCAGGCGCGAAAACUUUACAAUGCGGGAAACCGUGAUAAGGGAACUCCGAGUGCCCGUUAAAUCGGGCUGUCCACCAGUUUAAAUAACUGGUGAAGAAAGGGCCGGGCAAGACCGGUGCCAGCCGCCGCGGUAAUACCGGCGGCUCGAGUGGUGCCCACUAUUACUGGGCUUAAAGCGUUCGUAGCUGGUCUGUUAAGUCUCUGGGGAAAUCUACCGGCUUAACCGGUAGGCGUCUCAGGGAUACUGGCAGACUAGGGACCGGGAGAGGUGAGGGGUACUCCAGGGGUAGGAGUGAAAUCCUGUAAUCCUUGGGGGACCACCUGUGGCGAAGGCGCCUCACCAGAACGGCUCCGACAGUGAGGGACGAAAGCUGGGGGAGCAAACCGGAUUAGAUACCCGGGUAGUCCCAGCUGUAAACGAUGCGCGUUAGGUGUAUCGGUGACCACGAGUCACCGAGGUGCCGAAGAGA
rnacentral:rRNA from 1 species